AGGGAGGAAUGCGACAAUAAAGAAAGAGAUUGAAGAGAAAGAAAGCGAGUUUCCGCGAUUGUUGUAGGAUAUUCUCUCUCUUUUUAGAAGAAGGAAUAAAGGCGUGCAUGUUUUAGGAUAAAAGUGUGCAAUCAUUUCAUGUAUUGGAUAAAUUGCAGCUACUGGUCCUGUUGAAAACAAUUUAUAUUAUAUUUGUACCUUUCAAUCUGUUAUCAAAUGAA
rnacentral:misc_RNA from 1 species